AUUGAACGCUGGCGGCAUGCUUUACACAUGCAAGUCGAACGGUAACAGGUUAAGCUGACGAGUGGCGAACGGGUGAGUAAUGCAUCGGAACGUGCCCGAUCGUGGGGGAUAACGCAGCGAAAGCUGCGCUAAUACCGCAUACGAUCCGAGGAUGAAAGCGGGGGACCGUAAGGCCUCGCGCGAUCGGAGCGGCCGAUGUCAGAUUAGGUAGUUGGUGGGGUAAAGGCUCACCAAGCCGACGAUCUGUAGCUGGUCUGAGAGGACGACCAGCCACACUGGGACUAGGGCACGGCCCAGACUCCGACGGGGGGCGGCAGUGGGGAAUUUUGGAAAAUGGGUGAAGGCCUGAUCCAGCAAUGACGCGUGCAGGAAGAAGGACGUCGGGUUGUAAACUGCUUUUGUACGGAGCGAAAAGGCUCUCUCUAAUACAGGGGGCUCAUGACGGUACCGUAAGAAUAAGCACCGGCUAACUACGUGCCAGCAGCCGCCGUAA
rnacentral:rRNA from 1 species